rnacentral:rRNA from 1 species
UACGUAGGGUGCGAGCGUUAAUCGGAAUUACUGGGCGUAAAGCGUGCGCAGGCGGCUUGCCAAGUCAGAUGUGAAAGCCCCGGGCUCAACCCGGGAACUGCGUUUGAAACUGGCAGGCUAGAGUUUGGCAGAGGGGGGUGGAAUUCCACGUGUAGCAGUGAAAUGCGUAGAGAUGUGGAGGAACACCGAUGGCGAAGGCGGGUCUCUGGGCCGAUACUGACACUGAGAAGCGCAAGCGUGGGGAGCGAACAGG